GACGAACGCUGGCGGCGUGCUUAACACAUGCAAGUCGAACGGAAAGGCCCCUUUGGGGGUACUCGAGUGGGGAACGGGUGAGUAACACGUGAGUAACCUGCCCUUGACUUCGUGAUAACUUCAGGAAACUGGGGCUAAUACCGGAUAGGAAUCCUUGCUGCAUGGUGGGGGUUGGAAAGAUUCGUCGGUUUGGGGUGGACCUGCGGCUUAUCAGGUUGUUGGUGGGGGAGUGGCUUACCAAGGCUUUGACGGGGAGCCGGCCUGGGAGGGCGAACGGCCAAAUUGGGACUGGGAUAAGGCCCAGACUCCUACGGGGGGAAGCAGUGGGGAAUAUUGCACAAUGGGCGGAAGCCUGAUGCAGCAACGCCGCGGGCGGGAUGACGGCCUUCGGGUUGUAAAACGCUUUCAGCAGGGGCGAAGCUUGUGGUGACGGUACCUGCAGAAGAAGCACCGGCUAACUACGUG
rnacentral:rRNA from 1 species